GUGUUCGUAGAAAGGAGAGAUGGUUGGCAUCUCCCCUGACAGGGACGGGAACAGCCUUCGGGCUUACCUGUUACCAACACAUUCGGUUAAGGCUACCCACCUUUGAGGUGGAUCUAUAACCAAUUUUUUUC
rfam:Jatropha curcas cultivar GZQX0401 scaffold290_51, whole genome shotgun sequence.